CCUUGGCGGAUGCUUACCAUGCAGUCGAACGGUCUUUUCGGAGAUAGUGGCGGACGGGUGAGUAACGCGUGAGAAUCUAGCUUUAGGUUCGGGACAACCAUUGGAAACGGUGGCUAAUACCGGAUGUGCCGAAAGGUAAAAGGCUUGCUGCCUAGAGAUGAGCUCGCGUCUGAUUAGCUAGUUGGUAGUGUAAGGGACUACCAAGGCGACGAUCAGUAGCUGGUCUGAGAGGAUGAUCAGCCACACUGGGACUGAGACACGGCCCAGACUCCUACGGGAGGCAGCAGUGGGGAAUUUUCCGCAAUGGGCGAAAGCCUGACGGAGCAAUACCGCGUGAGGGAGGAAGGCUCUUGGGUUGUAAACCUCUUUUCUCAAGGAAUAAGUUCUGAAGGUACUUGAGGAAUAAGCAUCGGCUAACUCCGUGCCAGCAGCCGCGGUAAUACGGAGGAUGCAAGCGUUAUCCGGAAUGAUUGGGCGUAAAGCGUCCGCAGGUGGUGAUGAAAGUCUGCUGUCAAAGAAUCAGGCUUAACCUGAUAGAGGCAGUGGAAACUACAUGACUAGAGUGCGUUCGGGGCAGAAGGAAUUCCUGGUGUAGCGGUAAAUGGGGUAAAAAAAACGCCCUACACACUAUUGGAAUUCUGGUGUACCUC
rnacentral:rRNA from 1 species